AGUUCCGAUAGUUCCCCUGCUUUAGUUUUGUUCUUCUCAGUAAACUUGGUGUAUCUUCUGAUUCGAAGGUGGUCGCUCCGAUUAUAUUUUUAUAAACCAAUACUAAUAUAUGUCUUUUAAUAUUGCAGGGAUGAAUCAGAAUUAGAAAGAUGGUUUCUGGAGGAAUCAGAAUUAGGCAGAUGAUUUGGUAAAACAUCUUCGGCGGCCUAAUUAACUUUAUCCAGUCCAUGCUUGGAAUGAGUAGGAAGUGGGAUUUUUUUGUGCUGCAGAUUGAAAGUACCACCUUUAGUCAUGACGACGUUUGUUGUUACGAUUCAAAUUUAUAGGCUGCAGAGUUGGGAUUCGGCACUGCCUUUGGAAUGGGUGAUGGGAUUAGGCAAUAAAACAUUUUUCGAACACCUGCAAAGGUUUGGAUGUUGCUCUUAAAUGUUUGGAAUUAAUCAGAGUGAAACAAAUUAGAGUAUCUGCAUUAUUUCAUAAGGAUUGUGGAAUGAACGUUCAAAUGAUUACAGUUGCCGACUUAACUCGCAACGUGUGAGAGAUAGCAUUCAAAUUUACAAAUAGGGGUUGAAGGUAAAGUAUUUGUAGUGUGAAUUCUAGGAAGUCAUGUCAUUUUAAAUUUUGUAACACUGAAUUAAGAGCGACUUACAAUUACA